GACUGUAUGUCUGUAAGUCAUAAGGGAUGUAUCUAUGGCUUAAUUACAUAUAAUUUUAAACAGAAUAGAUUGACCUAUUAGAAAGUGGGCUAAAACCAGCCCACUUAACAGCAUCCAUUAUAUGAUGCGCCUAAUUUUCUAAUUUGGGAAACGCUGGUUUAAACUGGUUGAAGAGUCAGAUCAUUUUACUUAAAAUGGAGCGACACCCUUCCUUGUGUUUCAGGCAGAAAUCAGUUGAAUUAUUAGAUAUAAUGCAUCCCAAGAAAUGGGUUAUAAAAUGAAGGGAAUACGGGUUUGGAUAGAUUAAUUAUCUGGAUAACUUUCUGAGCUCAUUGAACCUCCUCGGUAAGUAGUAGACAUCAUUCUUUGAAUGGUGUGUUAAUUCUGAUUAAAGCAUUAACUCGAGUUAUUCUCCUUUCAGCUUGAGAUUACAGAGGGAACACCUGACUUGGGUGUGACUUCAUAUUGGACUGACGCAGAGGGAAAUGUCGUAUAUGGCCCAAAUACCCCAACGGAAAAGAUGAAAAGUCCCGUCACUGGAACAAAAAAGGAGAAGCGAAAGGAAUCUGUAACUAAGACUCUCCUAAUGGAAAAGAUCGAAGGCAACGAGGAGUCUGAAGUGCAGGAAGAUAAAGAAAAGGUCGCAGCAGAACCCAAAGCUUCAGACCCAGAACAAAAAGAAGAUGCAAAAGAAGAGGCUGAGCAGACGGUGACCUCCGUCCAAUCGGAUGCUCCCGAGCAGCCUGCAGCGGCAGUGGAGGAGCCAAAAACACAGAGUGAACCCAGUGAAGAAAAAUAACGAGUAUACUCGCAUUUACGUGCAUAUGCUACAAGUGUGAUGUGGGCUUUUAAUAUGAUUGAUGAUUUAUUUUAAAUUUGAUGUUGCUUUUGCUCUUGUGUUGAGAAUAUUCCACAUUUGUGCAAUAGAAUAACUUUUGUUUUAUAUCUUGUAUUCAUGACAACACUUCACAGACCACUGUUUUUAUGGUUUGCCUGCAUUUGAUUUGGAUAUUUUGUCUACUCUGUGUAUCUUUUUCAUCAUAUUUGCUUGAAUAAAGGAUGCUGAUAUACAUA